rnacentral:misc_RNA from 1 species
AACAUUUUGGCAUGUGCAGCGUGUAAAAUAUAUAUAUAUAGAAAAUAAAAUAAGAUUACAAUGGAGCAAUCAUGUUUUGUCCUUCUCUUACCCAUAGCUCGCGUUCCAGUAUUUCCCAACCAAAAACUUUCCUCCAUUGUUUUUGAUGACAAGCUUCACCACUUUAACAAAUUUUCAAUCCCAGCAGCCCUUUGGUGCAAGACCAACUCGAGGGACCAUGGUGGUGAAGGAAAAUGGUGCAAAGGAGCAAAUCGUGUGGAUUAAGGGUGUGGAAGAGAAACCCAUGCCGUAAGUUUCAAGACCCCUCGCCGGCGUUCAUGGUCACCAGUCACCAUAGGACUAACGGGAAGUGACUCCUAAUGACCCCAGCUACCCAAAUCGGCCGUUAGGACUUGGUUCCAUGGAGUUCCGACGAGAUUAAGAGAAAGAGGAGAGAGAAAGUUGAGGUAGUGAACUUUCCGGCCAUUUUCCCGGCAAUUCGACCGUCAGAUCAAAAAUUCGAGACAACUGAUGGACUCAGAAUGGCGAAAUAUUCGAGAUAGGACUGGUCCUGCUCCGAUCGGAUACCGUUUGAAAAAGGCGAUAAUCGAACGAUCCAGAUCACUUGGUGCAAUCGGAUUAAGGAUAGCUCACUGGCGCCGGGACCACAUUUUCAGUCAAAUCUGGCUGCCCGGCAGCCCGUCUCAGAACGUAGUCGAUAUUAUAGUCAAACCUAGCAUUUUCAGAUGUUCUGAAUGCGUUCCCAGUGUCAGAUUUGGCAUAGCUGAAAAAGACUUGGAAACUCAAAGAGACUGAGUCAAGGCUUCAAGGCGACUCUAGUCAGGUUUGUGCACAAUAAUAAUUGUUUAAAUAUUUUAAUCUCAAAAAUUUGACUUCUUUGAUUAAUUAUGUAUUGUGUUACCAUUUUAUAAUCGUAAAUGUGACUUUGAAAAUUGAUCAGAUUUCUCAUAAAUUGUUUGAAUAAAUUGUUUUGAAUUGA